GUGCUUGGGUGAAGGGCAAGGCCAAAGCUGUGCAGACAGGGCUCCUUGCUGCUGCUCUGCUGCCUGGGCCACAGUUCCUGGGUAACAGACACAGGGACUGGGAACCUCCUAGCAGGUUCUUGGUGGCUCUGCUGCCCUCACCUAAGUGGCUGAAUUUUGUGUGGAUUCCAUGCUGGAGAGCAGGGCCAGGGGCCUUGCUGGCAGUGACAGCCCCACAGUGACGAUAGGCGGGGAGGACUUUAGGGGGCCCCACCUUAGCGGCUCUCUUUACCCUUCCUGUAGAGAAAAAAGAGUGCCGGCGGGACCACCGCCCACCGUGUGCUCAGGAGGCGCCCCGCAACAUGGUGCACCCCAAUGUGAUCUGUGAUGGCUGCAAUGGGCCUGUGGUGGGAACCCGCUACAAGUGCAGCGUCUGCCCAGACUACGACUUGUGUAGCGUCUGCGAGGGAAAGGGCUUGCACCGGGGGCACACCAAGCUCGCGUUCCCCAGCCCCUUCGGGCACCUGUCUGAGGGCUUCUCGCACAGCCGCUGGCUCCGGAAGGUGAAACACGGACACUUCGGGUGGCCAGGAUGGGAAAUGGGUCCACCAGGAAACUGGAGCCCACGUCCUCCUCGUGCAGGGGAGGCCCGCCCUGGCCCCACGG
rnacentral:sRNA from 1 species